rnacentral:lncRNA from 1 species
AGAUGACUUGAAGUGCCAGAGUUUUGCUCAGAGUGAUGACAGCCAGCGAGGCCUGCUGGGACAGCGCUCGGGCCGCGGAGCGGGCUCGGCACUCACCGCCUGCAGGGAGCACAAAGGCUCAGGGUUACCACUUAAACACCGGCAUUUUCUCUCCAUCGUUCCUACACACACGUAUGAGUACAUUCAUUAUUUGUAUCAGCACGACGGGGAUUUGGGGAGCUGGGGAAAGUGAGACUGAGGAGUUAAAUCCUAAUGGGGAUUUCAGGGCCUCAGCUGGAAAAUCUCCACAAGCUUGGAGCAAUCAAAUGCAGCUGAGGCCAAUUUAAAACAAAACAAAACAACAUCAACAAAAAUCUAUCUGUUCUCAUGGCAGGGGGAUUUGCAGAGCUGUUGCUGAACAAUAGGUCUCAGGAUAUAAAAGACAUGCUCGGAAGUUACCCCUUUUUAAGCACGUUAAGGUAUGUGGUGGGUAGGGUGUCUGUAUGUGCAAGCAUGUGUGAGCAAAAGACGGGUGUUUGUUUGACUCAAAAAAGUUUCAGCCCUUUUUUUUUUUGUUUUGGAGGAAAGAGACUUGGAUUUUUUUGCAUUUGCUUCCCUUUUUCUCUGCUUCCAGAAAUGCUUUGUUACAUUGACCACAGGCCUACAGCUGAAGCCUUCAACUACAGUUGA